CGGGGUGUGGCGCAGCCUGGCUAGCGCGCUUGCAUGGGGUGCAAGAGGUCCCGGGUUCGAAUCCCGGCACCCCGA
rnacentral:tRNA from 1 species